rnacentral:lncRNA from 1 species
CUAUCUAAAGUUAUAGCAACUGAACCAGGAAGACAGUUUUAUAGCUAGAAAUUUCUGUUACAGGCAUCCAAUUGUUAGAAAAGUUCCUGUGCAGAAACCAUGUGUGUGUUGUGGGCCUACAACCAUGGCAGCUAUUCAAAUAUUAAAGAGUGGGACAAAGCAGAAGCCUAGCAGUCUGAAGCAGAUAAAAAAUAAGGAUGGACAAUAUGUUGGAAAGACAUUUACAUAA